rnacentral:lncRNA from 1 species
GUGGUAGCUACACACAGGGGCAAGAAGUCCUCUCCAGAGGGACAGUGCCUCUGGGACAGCAGACAUCACUGAGGCUUCAGUCCCAGCCCAGAGGACCCCAGCCCACAUGGGAUGCUGCUCAGGAGGCCCAUCCCUGGAGAGACAGCCAUCUUUUCCUUUAUUCUGCCUUCCAAGCUGUAUCUAGAACCUACUGGGGACUCCUUUCUUCAGGACGCACAUCUGAGCAUGUCCUUGCUCCCAUCUGCCCAUUGCUCGCCGCCUCCCUCCAUCCAGUCAUCCAUUAAGCAUCGAAUAUGGCUGCUGGAGAGCACCCAAGGGCUCUCUUACAGGACUGUCACUACAGAUAUUUUCUGGCAAGUUUCUAUACGAAGUAUGAUCCGACUCACUUCAUCCUAAACACAGCUUCUCUCCAGAGUGUGCUAAUUCCUAAAAUGCCACAGCAACAUGACACAUUUCUGUUUUCCAAACCUGUUGCCAUCCUUCAGCUAUAAGGACUGAGAGAACCAUGGUCUGACAACAGAGGAGUACUCAGAGGUACUUGUUCAGGGGUGUGAGGGAGGGACAGGACAGUUAGCUGUGGGAGAAAGCUGGAUGUUUUGAUAAAGAGAAGGGCUGGGGCUGUUUUCCCUGGGCUUUCUGGUUUGCAAGAUAGAAGUCUGUUAGUUGGGAAGCUCCAUGGAAGCUUUCUAGUUGUGAUCUGAAACUAGCCCCUCCUUGGGGGGCAGGGAGAGACCCAGGAAAGAGGGAAGCUGGUGGUGUUCCCAAGCAAAGGAGGCUCACAGGUGAGGCUCUUCCCAGGUGGUGGCAGAAUGAGUAGAUACCCACACCCACCAGCCAGAUCUGAAAAGUAAUGUAGAGG